UGCAAGGAAAGCCAAGAAUUGUCAUCGAUAGUUGGAAGGCCUUGAACCCAGUGAAAAUCUGUGUGGGGGAUUUUAAUACCAGAAAGAAGAAGUGAAUAUUGGUGAAUGGCUAGCUAUCUUUGCUACAAUUGCUCACCUGAGAUUAUAGGUUGGUUUUCUCCAUAUCAGAGCUGCUUUGUGAGUGAACUCUACUGUGCCUCCUGUGCCAAAAGUGAAGCUCCUUGAGGAGACUUGCCCAAUUUUACGUAUGGAAACCGAAGACUUACCCAGAGUCACAGAAAGAGUGGUGACAAUCAGGACUAGGAUCCAGAGAACAUGAAUUUUUUCCUGGCUCCUGAAAAAGCAGCGUUUCUCUUCCAAAUGCAUGAACAUGGAACUAUCAUCACAAUCUCGCCUUAUUUACAUGAGAGUGUGGAAAACAGACACAUGAAGCACCCUGGCUGUUUGGAACUGAAAACAAGUAUUCUUCUAUGACAGGAAAGCACUAAAGGUCAAAUGACUCUCAGAGCUGGGGCAGGCACUCUGAUCUCAGAGUCCCACAGAGAGGGCGGCGUUCCGGGACGUGGGGCCCUUGUCACGGCAGCUCUUCUUCCCGUCUUCCUAGCAACCUUCACACCACCCCUCCCCCACUUCCCAAGGCUCUUACCAGGCCUGUGCUUCUGUGGCCUGUGGAAGAAGUGGAAGCUUUUGUAGUCGACAAGAGAGAAGGAGGUGAUGUUCCACCAUGAGCUCUGGCAACACUUUACUUAGCUUUCUUUUGGGACACCUAGAAAAUGGCCACUCGGAAAAAUCCUCCCCUAAGAGGGCUGAUUUUCUGAGACUUAUUUUGCUCUGGGCCAGAUAAAAAGAACUGGAAAAAGAAGACAGGCCUUCUGCUAUUAUGUAACCAGGGUGUCUGGCCUUGUUCAUAUCCUGGCUUCCUGAGGGACGUCACUUCCUUUCCCAAUAUCCUUUGGAUGUACUGGUAGAUAUGUGGGGGUGUUUCCCUUGCAAUUCUUUUGGGAUGAAAUGAUCUUCUUUCUUACUGUCUCCUUCCUGUCCCUCCUUCUUUUCCUCUCUUCCUUCCUUCCUUCCUUCCUUCCUUCCUUCCUUCCUUCUUUCCUUCCUUCCUAUGCAUUUUUCUGUCAGAUUUUCCUUUGUCUUUUUCCUGAACAUGCCACCAGGAGAAAGUCAUGAUUGUCUUGUUGAGUUCCUUCUGCAUUUUGGAACAGUCUUGGGAAGAUGUGUUUUUAUGAAGCAACUCAGGAACUUGAGCUAUCUGCAAUGACCUCUCCCCCCUCCUCUGGAGUAGACCUUCACUUCCAUAAUCAGGAUGGCUUUGGAUCCUUUUCCCAGAUCACUCUGUUACAUGAUUCUAUACUCCAUGUGAUCCAUUUUGCU